CCUACGGGUGGCAGCAGUGAGGAAUAUUGGUCAAUGGUCGGGAGACUGAACCAGCCAAGCCGCGUGAGGGAGGAAGGUACAGAGUAUCGUAAACCUCUUUUGUCAGGGAACAAAGACUGGGACGCGUCCCCGGAUGAGUGUACCUGAAGAAAAAGCAUCGGCUAACUCCGUGCCAGCAGCCGCGGUAAUACGGAGGAUGCGAGCGUUAUCCGGAUUUAUUGGGUUUAAAGGGUGCGCAGGCGGUCUGUUAAGUCAGCGGGCAAAGCCCGGGGCUCAACCCCGGCCCGCCGUUGAAACUGGCAGUCUCGAGUUGGAGAGAGGUAUGCGGAAUGCGCGGUGUAGCGGUGAAAUGCAUAGAUAUCGCGCAGAACUCCGAUGGCGAAGGCAGCAUGCCGGCUCCACACUGACGCUGAGGCACGAAAGCGUGGGUAUCGAACAGGAUUAGAUACCCCUGUAGUC
rnacentral:rRNA from 1 species